AACAAGGUUCUAAACCUUCUUUUUCUGCAUAAGGUAGGGUGUGUUGUGGUAUAAAACCAGGGUUGAUUUGAUGGUGAUUGUAUACAUAUAUACAACUUAACUUUAUUAAACUUUAGAUCGGAAAGUUAUCCUAUUUCUGAAUUUUUUUUGUACUUCUUCCCAAAAAGACCAUUACCUUUACUUAAGGUUUCUUUAUUCCAUUCAGUUAGGCCCAUCUUCAAAAUUUUAUUUCCAUCUUCAAACAGUGAGGUAUGACAUGGUUAAUUUAGCAGUAGAUUAGACAUAACAUCAUUAGGUUUUUGUAAAAAUUUGGGGUGCUCGAGUGCAGAAACCAUAAGAAAUCUGGUAUAGACCCUUGUGAAUGCUAGCUGAUUUCAUGCACUGGAAAAAAGGAUUUGUUGUGUCAGAUUAAUUGUUUCAUUUUUCUUAGUUCAAUAUACACAAAC
rnacentral:lncRNA from 1 species